rnacentral:tRNA from 1 species
GGAGAUAUAGCUCAGUUGGUAGAGUGCCUGCCUCACAUGCAUAAAGCCCUGGGUUCAAACCCCAGGAUUACCA